rnacentral:rRNA from 1 species
GACGAACGCUGGCGGCGUGCUUAACACAUGCAAGUCGAACGGAAAGGCCCUGCUUUUGUGGGGUGCUCGAGUGGCGAACGGGUGAGUAACACGUGAGUAACCUGCCCUUGACUUUGGGAUAACUUCAGGAAACUGGGGCUAAUACCGGAUAGGAGCUCCUGCUGCAUGGUGGGGGUUGGAAAGUUUCGGCGGUUGGGGAUGGACUCGCGGCUUAUCAGCUUGUUGGUGGGGUAGUGGCUUACCAAGGCUUUGCCGGGUAGCCGGCCUGAGAGGGUGACCGGCCACAUUGGGACUGAGAUACGGCCCAGACUCCGACGGGAGGCAGCAGUGGGGAAUAUUGCACAAUGGGCGGAAGCCUGAUGCAGCAACGCCGCGUGCGGGAUGACGGCCUUCGGGUUGUAAACCGCUUUCGCCUGUGACGAAGCGUGAGUGACGGUAAUGGGUAAAGAAGCACCGGCUAACUACGUG